GAUGAACGCUGGCGGCGUGCUUAACACAUGCAAGUCGAACGGGAAACCUUUUAAUGAAGCUUCGGCAGAUUUAGCUGGUUUCUAGUGGCGGACGGGUGAGUAACGCGUGGGUAACCUGCCUUAUACAGGGGGAUAACAGUCAGAAAUGACUGCUAAUACCGCAUAAGCGCACAGGACCGCAUGGUCCGGUGUGAAAAACUCCGGUGGUAUAAGAUGGACCCGCGUUGGAUUAGCUUGAUGGAGGGGUAACGGCUCACCACGGCGACGAUCCGCAGCCGGCCAGAGAGAGUGAACGGACACAUUGGGACUGGGACGCGGCCCAGACUCCUACGGGAGGCAGCAGUGGGGAAUAUUGCACAAUGGCGGAAACGCUGAUGCAGCGACGCCGCGUGAAGGAAGAAGUAUCUCAGUAUGUAAACUUCUAUCAGCAGGGAAGAUAGUGACGGUACCUGACUAAGAAGCCCCGGCUAACUACGUG
rnacentral:rRNA from 1 species